rnacentral:sRNA from 1 species
ACGAUCGAUGCUGAUGAUAUUUCCAGCCCUGCAGAUGCAGAUUAUUUCACCGCGUUGGCAUAGAACAGUCUUUCUCAGGACCAAAGUACAGUUGCAAAGAAUAAUGUGCUAAGAAACGGCGCCGUAAGAACAGGGCAAAAUGGUGGUUAGUUAAAUGAUAGGCUUUAGAAUUCGGUCAUUUUUACUUUUGAACCGUUCUCCGAAGCAAAAAAAAAAAAAUAACUUCGGUCGAUUUAAUGUAGAGUUUUUAUUAUGGAUCUUCUGACCCUCGGGUCUUAAGAUUUAUAGUAGAUUUUUUGAAAAGCAUAGAUA